GCCGCGGGGAGGUGCCGCCAUGCUGAGGCGCCGUGAGGCGGUGCUGGAGAGCAGCAAAGGAGCUGAGGCAUGCACUCUGCUCCAGCCUCUGAUGGUGACAACCUCUGUGUCUUCUUCCUGACCAUCCCCUCCUCAUCUCUGGAUCCACAUCCUUCUCUGCUGGCCCAUCUCAGUCCUCCUCUAUCUCCUCACCCGUUUGUCACCUGCCUCCUUCACACAAUCUGUGAUCCACAGCUCCCUGCAGCCUGAGGCCUUCUGCAGCUCCUGGGCUCUGCGUCACAGAUUAACGCCCACAAUCUCUUUUACCCAUUUUUCUCAAUGACUGCUCAGUCCCCAACCUCCUUGUCCUUCAUUCACUACACCUGUUGCUGAAUCCACAUUUUUAUCUUUUGCCUUUG